AUGCGGCGGCCGCCAGACCUGCGAUGCAGCGGGCGCCGAUGCUGUCGGAGUUGCAAUGCAACGACCGACAAAGCCGACGCCGUUGGAGCUGCGAUGCGGCGGCUGCCAGAGCUGCGAUGCAACGGCCAUCGACGCCGUCGGAGCUGCAAUGCAGCGGCCACGACGCCGCCGGAGCUGCGAUGCAGCGGCUGUCGCCUGUUGGAGCUGUCGACGACGCCGGAGUUGCGAUGCAGCGGGCGUCGACGCCGCCGGAGCUGCGAUGCAGCGGGCAUCGACACCGCCGGAGUUGCGAUGCAGGAUCGUCGAUGUUGGUUUUGUGGCAGCUUGAUUCCGCACGCUCGUCGGUACCUCGGGGCUGUUGGAACCUGGAACACAAGGGCGUCAGUAGUGGUCGUCGUCGGCCCCAUGGAGCAGCUCGUGCGGGCUAGCAGUCGCCGAGCCACUGCCUAG
rnacentral:rRNA from 1 species